CUGCUCGCCUCAGCAGCACAUACACUAAAAUUGAAACAAUACGGAGAAGAUGAGCAUGGCCCCUGCACGAGGAUGACACGCAAAUUCGUGAAACGUUCCAUAUUUUU
ensembl:snRNA U6 U6 spliceosomal RNA